ncrna:unclassified sequences aspS RNA
GUGCGGGGACGCUGUCUACGCACCCCGCGCCAUCUGUCGGGAGCCGUCCGUUACGGCACGGGACGGCACAGAUGAGAGGA